rnacentral:rRNA from 1 species
GCGGGCCCUACCACUUGCAAGUUUCAACGGUAGCACAGAGAGCUUGCUCUCGGGUGACGAGUGGCGGACGGGUGAGUAAUGUCUGGGAAACUGCCUGAUGGAGGGGGAUAACUACUGGAAACGGUAGCUAAUACCGCAUAACGUCGCAAGACCAAAGUGGGGGACCUUCGGGCCUCUUGCCAUCGGAUGUGCCCAGAUGGGAUUAGCUUGUAGGUGGGGUAACGGCUCACCUAGGCGACGAUCCCUAGCUGGUCUGAGAGGAUGACCAGCCACACUGGAACUGAGACACGGUCCAGACUCCUACGGGAGGCAGCAGUGGGGAAUAUUGCACAAUGGGCGCAAGCCUGAUGCAGCCAUGCCGCGUGUAUGAAGAAGGCCUUCGGGUUGUAAAGUACUUUCAGCGGGGAGGAAGGGAAUAAGGUUAAUAACCUUGUUCAUUGACGUUACCCGCAGAU